GACGAACGCUGGCGGCGUGCUUAACACAUGCAAGUCGAACGGAAAGGCCCUGCUUUUGUGGGGUGCUCGAGUGGCGAACGGGUGAGUAACACGUGAGUAACCUGCCCUUGACUUUGGGAUAACUUCAGGAAACUGGGGCUAAUACCGGAUAGGAGCUCCUGCUGCAUGGUGGGGGUUGGAAAGUUUCGGCGGUUGGGGAUGGACUCGCGGCUUAUCAGCUUGUUGGUGGGGUAGUGGCUUACCAAGGCUUUGACGGGUAGCCGGCCUGAGAGGGUGACCGGACUCAUGAGGGCGGCGGUCCGGACGAGAGUCAGGCGGUGGGCAGGAGUGGGUAGUGUGGCACACUGGGGGGAAGCCUGAGGCAGCGAGGGCGGGGGGGGGAUGUCGGCCUUCGGUGUGAAACCCGCGUGGGCCGGGGGCGGGGCGGGGGGGCCGGAAAGGAGUAAAGAAGCGCCGGUUACCAAGGUCAGAGCAGUCGGGGGAACAGAGGGAAGAGCCCCCGUCUGAGC
rnacentral:rRNA from 1 species